rnacentral:tRNA from 1 species
GGGGGUGUAACUCAGCGGUAGAGUAUCUGCUUCGCAUGCUGAAAGUCCUGGGUUCAAAUCCCAGCACCUCCA